rnacentral:pre_miRNA from 15 species
AAUUUGAUCCGUUCUUGAUGGGUUCGGGUCUAGUGGCACGGUUUUUUCAACUUCGUGACUAGAUCCACACUCAUUAAGGAAGUUUCACA